rnacentral:rRNA from 1 species
CACGUAGGGUGCGAGCGUUGUCCGGAAUUAUUGGGCGUAAAGAGCUCGUAGGCGGUGUGUCGCGUCGGCCGUGAAAACCUGCAGCUUAACUGUGGGCUUGCGGUCGAUACGGGCAUCACUGGAGUUCGGCAGGGGAGACUGGAAUUCCUGGUGUAGCGGUGAAAUGCGCAGAUAUCAGGAGGAACACCGGUGGCGAAGGCGGGUCUCUGGGCUGAAAACUGACGCUCAUGCACGAAAGCGUGGGGAGCAAACAGG